GAACGCUGGCGGCAGGCCUACCACAUGCAAGUCGAGCGGAUGAAGGGAGCUUGCUCCUGGAUUCAGCGGCGGACGGGUGAGUAAUGCCUAGGAAUCUGCCUGGUAGUGGGGGAUAACGUCCGGAAACGGGCGCUAAUACCGCAUACGUCCUGAGGGAGAAAGUGGGGGAUCUUCGGACCUCACGCUAUCAGAUGAGCCUAGGUCGGAUUAGCUAGUUGGUGGGGUAAAGGCCUACCAAGGCGACGAUCCGUAACUGGUCUGAGAGGAUGAUCAGUCACACUGGAACUGAGACACGGUCCAGACUCCUACGGGAGGCAGCAGUGGGGAAUAUUGGACAAUGGGCGAAAGCCUGAUCCAGCCAUGCCGCGUGUGUGAAGAAGGUCUUCGGAUUGUAAAGCACUUUAAGUUGGGAGGAAGGGCAGUAAGUUAAUACCUUGCUGUUUUGACGUUACCAACAGAAUAAGCACCGGCUAACUUCGUG
rnacentral:rRNA from 1 species